UACAGAGGGUGCGAGCGUUAAUCGGAAUUACUGGGCGUAAAGCGCGCGUAGGCGGCUUUGCAAGUCGGGUGUGAAAUCCCCAGGCUUAACCUGGGAACUGCAUUCGAGACUGCAUUGCUAGAGUAUGGGAGAGGGAAGUGGAAUUUCAGGUGUAGCGGUGAAAUGCGUAGAUAUCUGAAGGAACAUCAGUGGCGAAAGCGACUUCCUGGACCAAUACUGACGCUCAUGGUGCGAAAGCGUGGGGAGCAAACACGG
rnacentral:rRNA from 1 species